CCUACGGGAGGCAGCAGUAGGGAAUUUUGCGCAAUGGAGGAAACUCUGACGCAGCAACGCCAUGUGUGGGAUGAAGCAUUUCGGUGUAUAAACCACUGUCAGCAGGGAAUAAACGGUCGCUUUGGGCGACUUUGAAUGUACCUGCAAAGGAAGCCCCGGCUAACUUCGUGCCAGCAGCCGCGGUAAUACGAGGGGGGCAAAUGUUGUUCGGAAUCACUGGGCGUAAAGGGAGCGUAGGCGGGUUUUUAAGUAAGGUGUUUAAUCCCGGGGCCCAACCCCGGACCGGCACCUUAAACUGGGAAUCUUGAAUAGUGGAGAGGUCAGUGGAAUUGGGGGUGUAGCGGUGGAAUGCGUAGAGAUCCCCAAGAACACCAGUUGCGAAGGCGGCUGACUGGACACAUAUUGACGCUGAGGCUCGAAAGCAUGGGGAGCAAACAGGAUUAGAUACCCUGGUAGUCCAUGCCAUAAACGAUGAAUAUUAGGUUUUGGGCCCGUCAACGGUCCAGAGCCGCAGCUAACGCGUUAAGUAUUCCGCCUGGGGAGUACGGUCGCAAGACUAAAACUCAAAGGAAUUGACGG
rnacentral:rRNA from 1 species